AGAAAGGGUAGAAAUUAGAGAGAGGUCAGAGGGUCGUACAAGGGUAGAGUAACUAUGUUGUUCAACAAGUUUUCUUGGGCAAACAAGAAUUGCCCCAAAUUCCAAGAGUGCAUAUUUCUGUCCAGUUCGCGUUGGUAUAGUUGUCUCCACGUCGAAAAACACUAUCUCCGACCUAUCUUCCCCACUUCCCAUCGUCGUUUCUUGUGGAGUAGAGGGGCCGGCCUGCAUAUUUAUAUAGGGUUAGGGUAUUGCUUCCGGUGGAGGGUUUUGU
rnacentral:misc_RNA from 1 species